rnacentral:lncRNA from 1 species
AGAAGGAUGAAUUAAACUAAAAAGAUUUGUUUUAAAGAUAUCUGUUUAUUAAGAACAAUCUAGUUGUUAUGUUACACGUAAAUCAGCUACCUUUCGCCAUGAACAACGUUUGUUGCCAGCUUUGUACUAUGGGACGACAACAACUGCAGUGACGGAGAAAGAGAACUGGCGAGAGGUGAAAAAUUGAACGAGACAUUAGGAGAUCCCGACGGAGAUUUUUAUGAGUAUUUAUUUUGUAUUAUCCUCAUUCUAAUUAGAGAAACACUAAUUGAAAAGUGAUCAAAUAAAAUUGUGUCAAAGUUGUACUA